GAGUGAUGAAGGGUUUCGGCUCGUAAAACUCUGUUGUUGGAGAAGAACAGGUGAUAGAGUAACUGUUAUCAUCUUGACGGUAUCCAACCAGAAAGCCACGGCUAACUACGUGCCAGCAGCCGCGGUAAUACGUAGGUGGCAAGCGUUGUCCGGAUUUAUUGGGCGUAAAGCGAGCGCAGGCGGUUUUUUAGGUCUGAUGUGAAAGCCUUCGGCUUAACCGGAGAAGGGCAUCGGAAACCGGGAGACUUGAGUGCAGAAGAGGACAGUGGAACUCCAUGUGUAGCGGUGAAAUGCGUAGAUAUAUGGAAGAACACCAGUGGCGAAGGCGGCUGUCUGGUCUGUAACUGACGCUGAGGCUCGAAAGCAUGGGUAGCGAACAGGAUUAGAUACCCUGGUAGUCCAUGCCGUAAACGAUGAGUGCUAAGUGUUGGAGGGUUUCCGCCCUUCAGUGCUGCAGCUAACGCAUUAAGCACUCCGCCUGGGGAGUACGACCGCAAGGUUGAAACUCAAAGGAAUUGACGGGGGCCCGCACAAGCGGUGGAGCAUGUGGUUUAAUUCGAUGCUACGCGAAGAACCUUACCAGGUCUUGACAU
rnacentral:rRNA from 1 species